AAUUAAUAUUAAUCAAUAUAACAAAAAAUAUUUUAACCAUAUGGUCCUUUCGUACUAAUAUGGAUUAACAAUCUUAGGAUAGAAACCGACCUGGCUCACGCCGGUCUGAACUCAGAUCAUGUAAGAAUUUAAAGGUCGAACAGACCUAAUCAUUGGGCUCCUGCACCCAAAAUUUUUCUUAAUCCAACAUCGAGGUCGCAAUCUUCUUUGUCGAUAUGAGCUCUCAAAAACAAUUACGCUGUUAUCCCUAAGGUAACUUAAUCUUAUGAUCAUAAAUUAUGGAUCAAAAUAACAAACAUAAAUAAAUGAUAUAAUAAUGAAGAGUUUAUCUAUUCUUCAUGUCACCCCAACAAAACAUCAUCAUUAAAUAUAGAAAGACAAACAAAAAACUAUAUAAAAGUAAAAUGUCAAGCUCUAUAGGGUCUUCUCGUCCUAAAGAAGAAUUUAAGCCUUUUGACUCAAAAGUUAAAUUCAAAAAUUUAUUAAGAGACAGUUGAUUUCUCGUCAAGCCAUUCAUUCCAGCCACUAAUUAAGAGACUAAUGAUUAUGCUACCUUUGCACGGUCAAAAUACCGCGGCUCUUUAAAAAUACGCUCAGUGAGCAGGCCAGACCUCAAAAUAUAAACAAGAGGACAUGUUUUUGAUAAACAGGCGGAAAUCAAUUUUGCCUAGUUCCUUAUAAUAAGUUCACAAGGUAAAAAUUUCAUACAAAUAAAUAUACUAAUUCUAUCAUUAUUACAAAAAUUUUAAAAUUAAAUUAAUAAUCUUAAUAAAAAA